GUGGGGAAUAUUGGGCAAUGGGCGCAAGCCUGACCCAGCAACGCCGCGUGAAGGAAGAAGGUCUUCGGAUUGUAAACUUCUGUCAUUGGGGACGAAGGAAGUGACGGUACCCAAUGAGGAAGCCCCGGCUAACUACGUGCCAGCAGCCGCGGUAAGACGUAGGGGGCGAGCGUUGUCCGGAAUUACUGGGCGUAAAGGGUGCGUAGGCGGCGAUGCAAGUCCAUUGUGAAAAGCCCGGGCUUAACCUGGGAGGUGCAGUGGAAACUGGAUGGCUUGAGAGCAGGAGAGGAAAGUGGAAUUCCUAGUGUAGCGGUGAAAUGCGUAGAUAUUAGGAGGAACACCAGUGGCGAAGGCGGCUUUCUGGACUGUAACUGACGCUGAGGCACGAAAGCGUGGGGAGCAAACAGGAUUAGAUACCCCUGUAGUCC
rnacentral:rRNA from 1 species